rnacentral:rRNA from 1 species
CCUACGGGAGGCAGCAGUGGGGAAUCUUCCGCAAUGAGCGAAAGCCUGACGGCGCAACGCCGCGUGAUCGAAUGAAGGCCUUCGGGUUGUAAAGAUCUGUUGACAGGGACGAAUAAGCCAUGCGAAUAGUUUGGUGUAUGACGGUACCUGUUUAGAAAGCUCCGGCUAACUACGUGCCAGCAGCCGCGGUACUACGUAGGGAGCAAGCGUUGUCCGGAAUUACUGGGCGUAAAGGGCGCGUAGGUGGGUGCUUAAGUCAGGUGUGAAAACUCUGGGCUCAACCUGGAGACUGCACUUGAAACUGGGUAUCUUGAGGGCAGGAGAGGAAAGUGGAAUUCCUAGUGUAGCGGUGAAAUGCGUAGAUAUUAGGAGGAACACCAGUGGCGAAGGUGACUUUCUGGACUGUACCUGACACUGAGGCUCGAAAGUGUGGGUAUCAAACAGGAUUAGAUACCCCAGUAGUC